UACGAAGGGGGCAAGCGUUGUUCGGAAUUACUGGGCGUAAAGGGCUCGUAGGCGGCCAACUAAGUCAGACGUGAAAUCCCUCGGCUUAACCGGGGAACUGCAUCUGAUACUGGAUGGCUUGAGUUCGGGAGAGGGAUGUGGAAUUCCAGGUGUAGCGGUGAAAUGCGUAGAUAUCUGGAGGAACACCGGUGGCGAAGGCGGCAUCCUGGACCGACACUGACGCUGAUGAGCGAAAGCCAGGGGAGCAAACGGG
rnacentral:rRNA from 1 species